rnacentral:rRNA from 1 species
UACGUAGGCAGCAAGCGUUGUUCGGAGUUACUGGGCGUAAAGGGUGCGUAGGCGGUGGGGUAAGUUGGAUGUGAAAUCUUGGGGCUUAACCUCAAAAUUGCAUUCAAUACUGCUCCGCUCGAGUUCUGUAGAGGAGACUGGAAUUUACGGUGUAGCAGUGAAAUGCGUAGAUAUCGUAAGGAACGCCAGUGGCGAAAGCGAAUCUCUGGGCAGCAACUGACGCUGAGGCACGAAGGCCAGGGGAGCAAACGGG